rnacentral:rRNA from 1 species
UACGUAGGGGGCGAGCGUUGUCCGAAGUUACUGGGCGUAAAGCGCGCGUAGGCGGUUUCUUAAGUCUGGUGGGAAAGGUUCAGGGCUCAACCCGAACAGUGCACUGGAUACUGGGAGACUUGAGUAUGGGAGAGGAGAGCGGAAUUCCUGGUGUAGCGGUGAAAUGCGUAGAUAUCAGGAGGAACACCGAUGGCGAAGGCAGCUCUCUGGCCUGUAACUGACGCUGAGGUGCGAAAGCGUGGGGAGCAAACAGG